rnacentral:rRNA from 1 species
UAGAGUUUGAUCCUGGCUCAGAUUGAACGCUGGCGGCGUGCUUAACACAUGCAAGUCGAUCGGUAACGCGGGGGCAACCCUGGCGACGAGAGGCGGACGGGUGAGUAACGCUUGGGAAUCUGCCCAUCAGCGGGGGACAACCCGGGGAAACCCGGGCUAAUACCGCAUACGCUCCACGGAGGAAAGCAGGGGACCGCAAGGCCUUGCACUGAUGGAUGAGCCCAAGCCGGAUUAGCUAGUUGGCGGGGUAACGGCCCACCAAGGCGACGAUCCGUAGCUGGUCUGAGAGGACGAUCAGCCACACCGGAACUGAGACACGGUCCGGACUCCUACGGGAGGCAGCAGUGGGGAAUAUUGGACAAUGGGCGAAAGCCUGAUCCAGCGACGCCGCGUGGGUGAAGAAGGCCUGCGGGUUGUAAAGCCCUUUCGGUAGGGACGAAAGCUUCCGACCUAACAAGUCGGGAGGUUGACUUAACCUACAUAAGAAGCACCGGCUAACUCUGUGCCAGCAGCCCCGGUCAA